CCUACGGGAGGCAGCAGUGAGGAAUAUUGGUCAAUGGUCGGGAGACUGAACCAGCCAAGCCGCGUGAGGGAGGAAGGUACAGAGUAUCGUAAACCUCUUUUGUCAGGGAACAAAGGCGGGGACGUGUCCCCGGAUGAGUGUACCUGAAGAAAAAGCAUCGGCUAACUCCGUGCCAGCAGCCGCGGUAAUACGGAGGAUGCGAGCGUUAUCCGGAUUUAUUGGGUUUAAAGGGUGCGCAGGCGGUCUGUUAAGUCAGCGGUAAAAGCCUGGGGCUAAACCCCGGCCCGCAGUUGAAACUGGCAGUCUCGAGUUGGAGAGAGGUAUGCGGAAUGCGCGGUGUAGCGGUGAAAUGCAUAGAUAUCGCGCAGAACUCCGAUUGCGAAGGCAGCAUGCCGGCUCCACACUGACGCUGAGGCACGAAAGCGUGGGUAUCGAACAGGAUUAGAUACCCUUGUAGUC
rnacentral:rRNA from 1 species